AGACCGAUGAACGAGUUGAACGAAAGACCGAGUGAACGAAAGACCGAGUUGAACGAAAGACCCAGACCGAUGAACGAGUUGAACGAAAGACAGAGUGAACGAAAGAUCCAGACCGAUGAACGAGUUGAACGAAAGACAGAGUGAACGAAAGAUCCAGACGGAUGAACGAGUUGAACGAAAGACCGAGUGAACGAAAGAUCCAGACAGAUGAACGAGUUGACUGAAAGACUGAGUUGAGUGGCCGCCGCACGAGGCCCGACAGCCGAGCCAGAGCAAGCGGGACAGUCACACACACGCAAAGGCACACAGCUGCUGCUGCAGCCAGAGGC